ensembl:lncRNA
AAUCAGAGCUUGUAAUUAUUAUAAAGAUGACCAAAACACUGGCGAUGUUUCCAAAAAAAAAAAAAAAAAGGGUUGCUAUAUCAAUUAUCGUGAUAUACCGAUAUAUCAUCGUAUCGCCCAGCUCUAGACUGCACUGUAGAAGCGUGUUAAAGGGCGCACGUUAAAUCCCCGAUUUAAAAAGAUCAAAAUGAACCCACGUCUUAUUUUCUUUAAAGUAAGAAAGCUCUAUUUCACCCAAACAACGAUUAUCAUCCAGGUCCGUUCCUUCCGAACCGUUAACGUGUGAACGCAGCAUCACGGACGUCGGGGAGUCCGUCUGCGACCCGGACGAAGUGUCCGUCCGACGCCCCGACGAGGUUCUGUAAAUAUUUAUCACCGGCUCAACUAGCGACGCUAAUUGUUUAUUUCGAAUCGUCUUUAAGAUGCGCUUCCCUCAUUCGGUUUCCGUCUCCGGUACACGACACUACUCAUCCCGUACGGGUUUGUUCUUUAAAAAUGAACUGCUUUUAUUUCUUUAUCGAUUACGCGGUCGGUUCAAAGGACGACUCCGGAAAUCACUCCAGCAUGAGCUACAUGGGUUUUUUUUUGUUUGUUUGUUUGUUUUUGUUUGGAAGAAGCUAAUUAGCGCGAAUAAACCCGCUCUCGCUCGACCUUACACCCCUGUGUGUGUCGUAAACGUGUAGGUUUACAUGUAAAGAAAAACCAAGUGAACAGACUUGAACAACCACCAGCCCAAAUCCCGCAAAUCGCGCAAUGUGAAUACAACGAGCCGAACGACAACACGUGACUGUUGAUAUAUUGUGAAAAAGACACUUGAUUGUGAGCAGUUCAUCCCAAAGUGUUGCUCUGUUGAAUUAAUAUUCAUUUAUUUUUAAAAACGUUACAAAUAAAAUCAUUGCUUCUAACGAGUUAUCAUCUCUGGAACUCAUUCUGUCUUUCGCCGCGAUUGUAGCCGAUCGGCCAGGACCGGAUUCUCGCCAGCGGCGUCCGGGUCAGCGUCGCGCGAAGUCGACGUCAUAUUAAUGACAUGUACACAAAAUGGCUGCCUCACGUAUCCUGCUCUCACUUCGUCAGAAAUCGCCGAUACACUGACGUAAACGCUACGAUUCGACGCGUCGGUUUAACGCCUCCUACGCUGGUGUUCAAGCUACCGCCGUGUUUAAAAGAUCGACGUUAAAUCCGCCCCUUUCGCCGCCGCUACGUCCGCCGUCGACGCACAAGCUCGCCGGCCGAGUCAGUCUGAGCCACCGGACGCCUAGACGAAGCCGAUCGUGGGAUUAUUUUUACGCGAUACGGUCCGUUUCGCGGUGGAAUAGUCGUCCGGCGUCCGCUCCGAGGAACACGAGGAAAGCGCUACCCGCCCUCUUCCGCAUACACUCGCUCACGGGUGCUCUGAUUGGCUAGCGUCACCGCGAUCGACCGACGCCCAAACUUCCCCCCGUUUCAGCCCCGUUUUAUCCGUUCGAGCGAAGACGGACGGGACGUCCCCUUCGCUGAUCACGCGCGUCGAUCUUCUCUAGAAGUUUCUCCAGUCGCAGAGGCCCGCCACACAAACAUGACCUUCCUCAGGGCGUCCGUGUCGUCCCGAGCAGAAGAACGCGUGGAGAUUAGAACGUCGGUGGAAGAGAGAGAUUAUCUGCUAGCCGCGUUAACCUCAGAACUCCAGCACCAACGUUCAUGGACCGAUCACGCCGGUUCUAAGGUUUCUCGUCGUUGAAGAAUCGAAGAGAACCUUCCACGCGUCACGCCACCGACCAGUUUAACGAUAAUUACCGGGUCAAUCCGAGACGUAUUUAUUCUUCUUUUAUUCUAUCCACGCCGAGUCUCAACGGAUCACCACUUAACGAGCGCGUGGUUUAAUUCCGAUCGUCGGCCAUGACGGAUCCACCUGCACCGGUGUUCCUAUCUUUCCUUCUUUCUUUCCUCCUUUCCCACACGCCAUCUCACUCGUGCUGCCAUUUUGGAAGUGCAAAGUGAAUCCCGAACCGAGUUUGUGUUAACGACGCUACAGCGUUAAAACGAUGACGGACGAUCUUCUGAUUUUUAUUUAUUUAUUUAUUCAUUCAUUUCGACGCUCACGUUUCAGCUGGAUUUAAUAGCUAGACAUCUCCGCUCAAACACCGUUGGCCAGUCGUUAGCGCUGGAGCGACUCUUGGGUUUGUCUCUCUAGCGGAAGGAAAAAAAAAAUCCCUUAAAGGUUCUACGUAGAACCCGACUGUACUACGGGGGAAUUCUCUUUCAGAAACAUCGGAAGAACCCGUGAGGAACCGAACCCGUGUAAGACCUAUCCGAAGGUCUACCUUAAUCGCGGGGAAGAAUUCCUACGACGCAAAAUCGUCACGACGAUAAAACGCGUCGUAGGACUUUAAGAGACGAGCCUUAAACGCCGAUUUGUACGUCACGUGAGAAUCGAAUAUCGGGACGCGUGUCACUAGGACACGCGUAGGCGAGGAGGACGUGACGUGAUGAUCCGUGUUUCCCUCACAUCCUCUUUUCUUUCGGUUCUCCGUCUGUUUCUGCUCUGCGGAUGUUCCUCACGCGCUCACUCACACACACACACACACACACACACACACACACACACACACACACACACACACACACACACACACACAAAGAGAUUUCAUGUUUGUGUUACUGUAAUAAUGAACCUGAGGCGUGUAGAAAGAACUUCAAAUGUUUGUUGGUGAAAAUAUGGAACUAUAUAAAUCUAAAUAUAUAUAUAUAUAAAGUAUAUAAAUGAUUUAAAAAAAAAAAAAGCGAUGAUUUUAUAAAGUAAUUCCAAAAAUAAAAU